rnacentral:tRNA from 1 species
GGAGAGGUGGCAGAGUGGUCGAAUGCAACGGCUUGCUAAGCCGUCAUACGGGGUAACCUGUAUCGAGGGUUCGAAUCCCUCCCUCUCCGCCA